AAACUAACAAGGAUUCCCCUAGUAACUGCGAGUGAAGCGGGAAAAGCUCAAAUUUAAAAUCUGGCGGUCUUUGGCCGUCCGAGUUGUAGUCUGGAGAAGUGCUUUCCGCGCUGGACCGUGUACAAGUCUCUUGGAACAGAGCGUCAUAGAGGGUGAGAAUCCCGUCUUUGACACGGACUACCAGUGCUUUGUGAUGCGCUCUCAAAGAGUCGAGUUGUUUGGGAAUGCAGCUCAAAAUGGGUGGUAAAUUCCAUCUAAAGCUAAAUAUUGGCGAGAGACCGAUAGCGAACAAGUACCGUGAGGGAAAGAUGAAAAGCACUUUGGAAAGAGAGUUAAACAGUACGUGAAAUUGCUGAAAGGGAAACGCUUGAAGUCAGUCGCGUUGGCCAGGACUCAGCCUUGCUUUUCGCUUGGUGCAUUUUCUGGUUGACGGGCCAGCAUCGAUUUUGACCACUGGAAAAAGGCUAGGGGAAUGUGGCACCUUCGGGUGUGUUAUAGCCCUUAGUCACAUACAGUGGUUGGGAUCGAGGACCGCAGCACGCCUUUAUGGCCGGGGUUCGCCCACGUUCGUGCUUAGGAUGCUGGCGUAAUGGCUUUAAACGAC
rnacentral:rRNA from 1 species